AGAGGCGAGGGUGGAAAUCCCCAUCUUUGCAAGAACUUUCAUCAUUCCGUAAUUACUUGCUUUGAAGUAACUCUUAACAAGAUCAUCCCGAGAAUGAAACUCUCCAUCCUUUUUAGGAGGGAUCUUGCCGUCUAUCUGCAAUCGCCAAAUGACCUCUAUAGCCAAAUACGGGCAUAUAGCAUCUGCACCAAAUCCAAUAAGAGUACAAAAGUGAUGUACUUCACGAGGCUCAGCUGAUUCCACAAUCAACCCUAUCCGUGUCCGCUCAAGUGUUGAGACUAGAUGUUGAUGAA
rnacentral:misc_RNA from 1 species